AACGAACGCUGGCGGCAGGCCUAACACAUGCAAGUCGAACGCGUCCUUCGGGACGAGUGGCAGACGGGUGAGUAACGCGUGGGAACGUACCCUUUGGUUCGGAACAACAGCGGGAAACUGCUGCUAAUACCGGAUAAGCCCUUCGGGGAAAGAUUUAUCGCCAGAGGAUCGGCCCGCGUUAGAUUAGCCUUGUUGGUGAGGUAAUGGCUCACCAAGGCUACGAUCUAUAGCUGGUCUGAGAGGAUGAUCAGCCACACUGGGACUGAGACACGGCCCAGACUCUUACGGGAGGCAGCAGUGGGGAAUCUUAGACAAUGGGCGCAAGCCUGAUCUAGCCAUGCCGCGUGAGCGAUGAAGGCCUUAGGGUUGUAAAGCUCUUUCGUGGGGGAAGAUAAUGACGGUACCCCAAGAAGAAGCCCCCGGGCUAACUCCCGUGCCAGCAGCCGCGGUAAU
rnacentral:rRNA from 1 species